rnacentral:lncRNA from 1 species
UUUAUUUAACCAGGUUAGGCCAGUUGAGAACAAGUCCUUUAUUUAACCAGGUUAGGCCAGUUGAGAACAAGUCCUUUAUUUAACCAGGUUAGGCUAGUUGAGAACAAGUCCUUUAUUUAACCAGGUAGGCUAGUUGAGAACAAGUCCUUUAUUUAACCAGGUUAGGCUAGUUGAGAACAAGUCCUUUAUUUAACCAGGUUAGGCUAGUUGAGAACAAGUCCUUUAUUUAACCAGGUUAGGCUAGUUGAGAACAAGUCCUUUAUUUAACCAGGUUAGGCUAGUUGAGAACAAGUCCUUUAUUUAACCAGGUUAGGCUAGUUGAGAACAAGUCCUUUAUUUAACCAGGUAGGCUAGUUGAGAACAAGUUCUCAUUUACAAUUGCGACCUGGUCAAGAUAAAGCAAAGCAGUUCGACAACAUACAACAACACAGAGUUACACAUGGAGUAAAACAAAC